CCCCUUCUCACUAAAUGUCGAGGAUGUGUCAUGGACCCAUCCAGCUAUUAAUUGUUUGCUACAACUUCUCCCAUAUCCAUAUCCAUGCCUUUUUUGAAUGACGCGUUUCGUGUCUCUAAUUGCUGCCUAUACAUUUUUCAGGUAGUUCACGGGAGGGAGAAGCAAUGAUGCCUGAGCAGAAGCAGCAGCAUCCUUUGUCUCUUCGUCCUGCGGAUGAUGCUGUUACAUGUGAUGAGACCGUAGCAUAUGUCAUCUACUGUCACGGGGACCUCUACACAAUUCAUGCAUUACAUGUCAAUGAUAGCGAUCCUGAUGACCCCUCGCCACAAUCCGUUCUCACUCUCCAGCCCCAUGAUCUUCCACAACUGAUGGGUUUCGGUUGCUUGGGCUCCUCAAUCUGCAUGAUUGGAGGCGAGUAGGAUCGGCCUUCUCCAAAUAGAGGCGCGUCUCUCGACGUUUAUAUCCUUGACACACACUGUCUCCCGUCCACCACAGUUCCUCUAGGAAACCCCCUCGCCUAUCUUAGGAAAGGGCCAAGACUCAAUGCCCCCAAACUUCUCCCCAUUGUCAUCACUCACCUUGGGAAGUUUUACGUGCUCCCAAAUUCAUUCGAUCCUUCUGAUACGGGUGACUAUCUCAAACCACGGGGUGAAGUUCUCAACCCGACUCCGAUAAGUGGGCUGCCCUCCCCAAACCAACGAUCGAUCCUCCUGAUAUCAAAGCCUUUUCUAGGCCAUGCCAUUACAAAGUGAAAUCCUUCCAUGUUGUGGACUCUUGCAUAGUUUUGAGCCCACAGUGUGGGCUAGUCUAUGUGUUGGAUAGCAAUAAACCACGUGAAGACUGGAAGACCAUCUCGGGGACUGACUGGUUACCAGAGCUUCACGAAAGUUGGAGAUUUGGAUGUGGGUCCGAGGUUGUGGAUGGUUUGUUGUAUCCAUGGUUUUCGUCCCCAUCCCUUCACCAUGGGGCCCACCUCUUUGCCUACAAUCCUCUUAAACAGGGGAAGGGAGUAGGGAAACUUAUCCCAGUUCACCAUCCGACACCCGGGAGAAGUGGCCGAAAAAUCUUUUCCGGUCAGUGCAGCGGGGGUGGGAAGGCUGUGGUUUUCUCCUAUGGUUUUAGUAAGCAUGUUGAUCUAUUAACACAUGCCUAAUGAAAGCUUCGCUUCAGUUUGGAAGUUGUUCGCUUAGAAAAGAGAACCAGUGCUGGUGAUGGGAGGAGAGGAAGCGCAGCGGUCUGGUGGCUUCUGCUAUCAAAUAUGUCCCUCUUAAAUCAUUCCACUAUGUAAUUGGGAAGGUCGACCGGUUCGGAUAUCUCUGCGCUUGUUUUUCCAUGUGAGUGAAUUCUCGUUACCCUCUUGAGCUCAUUAAUUAACAUUGAAAAAGCUUUCUUGGGCUGUCUAUUUUAUUUUAUAUUUCUGUUUUUUUUGUUUUGGUUGCUCGUGAUAUACCAAGACCAGCUAGAGAAGGUUUGUUCCCGCUCCUUAAUUUUCUGCAAGGGAGUUAUCAUGGGAAAGACCCGUAUAUUAAUUAGGAGCUUAAUGGGCGUGUUGCCUCGUCAACUAUAUGUACAUGUUUAUGCUUCUUUCUUCUUUCUCCCUUCGGUAAGAAGCGGGGUUGAUAUCCUAUUAGCCUAUUUAUGUGCCUGCUAUUACUAAAACCCCAAGGACAUAGUGGAAACAACAUUGUUCGCUCACAAGCUGGAAGUUUGCAGAUGAUAUAAAAGCUAUGAUGGGGAUCUCCUCAGUUGUUUUUGCUUGGGAAACAAGGCUGAGUGUGGCAUGGACAAUAUUUAAUAUUGUUAGGUAGAUGUAAUAACACAUCUGUAUAUAUGCAUGUAUUCGGCUUCCCUUUGAUUAAUGGGAUGUCGAGGAAUUACAUGGCAGUAGAUCCCGUGCAGUGACUUCAGGAGAGAUUCAAAGUUCGGGGACAGCAGGUGCCAGGUGCUUCUGCUGAAGGCAUGGUCUCUUUUACGGGUUGACUAAGCCAAGUGGUCGGGGGGAGGGAAGAAGGUUGCUUUGACUUUCUGUUCAUGCUUUUGUAAGGAGGUUUAAUAAUGAAACAUUUUCACAGUAUUCUGGCACGUACAUUAGACUUCACAGUUUGUUCAAUUAGUUGUAUUAGUUGGACUCUAAGGACUGCCUUUUGGUUUCUAACCAACUGUACGAUCCUUUAUGUCUUUCGAAGUCUUUUAGUCUGCUGUCUAUAAUCUA